rnacentral:lncRNA from 1 species
UUCUUUGCUUUUUACUUUCUAGCACAAUUAAGAUUUAUAUUCUUUCAUUUUUAAUAAAGAAUUCCACCAAAUUUAUUCUUGGAAAACUGGAAUAUAAUGUUAUUUAAACUAGGACAUUGUUCUACUCCUUAAAGGCAAGCAUUUUACAUGAGAUAGUUUUACUGUGAAGAAAUUAAGUUUAUUGCACUGUAUUUAUAUUUCUGUGAUUGAUAAGUCUAUGGAUUUCUGUAUGCUUUCUAUAAUCUGCUUGACUCAGUUUCAUCAGUUUCUGCAAUUAGCAGAAGUUGACAUAUCUAAGUCAAAGCUCAUGUUUUUCCCAUCUUCAAAGGUAAAAUAAAUUUUUAGCUGUAACAAAUAUUUGAAAUACUAAUUUAUGUGUAAAUAUAAGCACUCUAAUAAUGAUCUUAAGUGACUGCUUAAGGAAGAAAUACACUGUUUGUAUCUGUCAAUAAAACAAGAAACCAUCCUGAUUGUGCUACCUAGGCUCCAAUGAACACACAUGCCUUCUCCUGAAGAUUGCAAUAUCAUUGAAUGUAGAAUUAACAUUCACCUCAUUUAGGAUAUGUUCUGAAAUGGAACUACUAGAGUUCAAAUUGUGCUGAAAAAGUAAAUAAGAUAAAAAUAAUUUUAAAAAAACAGGAGACAGCAUUGUGUAUAUUUAUAUUUUUCAUCCGCAGAUGAGUCAUAUCUAAAUUAUUAAUUACUCAUCACUCAGUAAUUUAAUAUAUAGUUUAUUUAAAAAAAAACAGAAAAUCCUAUGGGACGUGGAA